GCCCGCUUAGCUCAGUGGUAGAGCGCGCCACUCGUAGUUCUUAGGGUCACGUGCAAAAUUCCCACGAUCACAUGGUGAGGUCGGUUGUUCAAUCCAGCCAGCGGGCA